CCCACCUCCCACUUGGCCUUUGACCCCUUCUAAUACGUGAGGGAAAAUAGGAAAGCAUCUGGAGAAUAGAAGGAUAGGGACAGAUUUUCUCCUGUUUCAUUCAGUGAUCAACUGAUUUACUUACUGAUUCAUCCAUAACCAUCCACUGAACACACAUAAUUUUUUUGAUGAGUGAAAAGAGUUUGCUCUAUUUCACUUUCCUCAUUCAUUUUUUACUAAACUGAAUUUUAUUCUUCAACAGGAAAAAUCACAUUUAAAGAUUUCAAUGG
rnacentral:lncRNA from 1 species